rnacentral:rRNA from 1 species
UACAGAGGUCCCAAGCGUUGUUCGGAUUUACUGGGCGUAAAGGGUGCGUAGGUGGUUGGGUAAGUUUGAUGUGAAAUCUCCGGGCUUAACCCGGAAAUGGCAUUGAAUACUAUUCGGCUAGAGGUUUGGAGGGGGGGACUGGAAUUCUUGGUGUAGCAGUGAAAUGCGUAGAUAUCAAGAGGAACACCAGUGGCGAAAGGCGAGUCCCUGGACAACACCUGACACUGAGGCACGAAAGCUAGGGGGAGCAAACAGG